GACGAACGCUGGCGGCGUGCUUAACACAUGCAAGUCGAACGGAAAGGCCCUGCUUUUGUGGGGGGCUCGAGUGGCGAACGGGUGAGUAACACGUGAGUAACCUGCCCUGGACUUUGGGAUAACUUCAGGAAACUGGGGCUAAUACCGUAUAGGAGCUCCUGCGGCAUGGUGGGGGUUGGAAAGUUUCGGCGGUUGGGGAUGGACUCGCGGCUUAUCAGCUUGUUGGUGGGGUAGUGGCUUACCAAGGCUUUGACGGGUAGCCGGCCUGAGAGGGUGACCGGCAACAUUGGGACUGAGAUACGGCCCAGACUCCUACGGGAGGCAGCAGUGGGGAAUAUUGCACAAUGGGCGGAAGCCUGAUGCAGCAACGCCGCGUGCGGGAUGACGGCCUUCGGGUUGUAAACCGCUUUCGCCUGUGACGAAGCGUGAGUGACGGUAAUGGGUAAAGAAGCACCGGCUAACUACGUG
rnacentral:rRNA from 1 species